rnacentral:siRNA from 1 species
ACGUUCAGAGAUACAAGUGCCCA